ACGUGAUCCUUCCAAGAUGGCGGACCUGCUGAUGGCGUCUUUGGAGCUGUCGAAUGUUUGAAACUUUGAAAAGUGUUUUUAAAGUCUUUUUAAAACGUAGAUACGAUUAUGAAAUUAUAUACCUACACAGCUGUGUGGCUUUAAUAAGAAAAUCCCCACGAAACUGCCGUGACAGUUGUUUGAUAUGAGUCAAUAGGCCUAAUAUAAUUUAGGCUUACGUUAUGGCUAUUUUACAUUGAGUUGCUCGCUGUGCUACAACAGGACGUACUUUUGUUACAUUCUUUUAUUAACUUUACAAUAAACGUUACUUUACAUUAAAAGACUGCGGAUUUGGAAACACAUGAGGUUGUUAUUGAGCUCGUGGCAGUACCUGAGGACACUGUGGUUUACAGGACGACGCCUGUGGGCGUCUGAGUGUGCAAACCUCCAGCAAUCUUACGUACAUCUCAAACCAUCUGGACCCCUGCUCACUGCCAAGUUACCGAUGUGCUUUCUGAACAGUUCACAAUUUGCCAGGUAUUACUGCAGGCUAGAGUGAGGAAUCCCCACUUUAACGAACCUCCAUCUUAAGGUAUGUUUGUGGAGCCCAUGGUGGGUCUUCCUCAGCGUAUGGGUCACUGUACUCCACCACAGAAGACUCCUCUUCCUCAUAGUCUUCUGGAAGAGCAGCUGGAUUUUGUGUGUCUUCAAACAUGGGCUCUUCUGAUGGAGGAGGUGGAGGAGGCGCAUCUGUAACUGAGAGAAAGUGGAGAAAUGAGCAGACGACCAGGACUCCUGCAGAAGGGAAGGCCAUGCAAACUCAUGGAUCCAUGCAGAAAGCAAAUGAGAGAUUAUGCAGCGUCAUUAAUGCUAAGGAAUCCAUAACUCUGGACCAGGCCAUAUCCUGAGCUGAUCCUGCGGAGAGCAUGAGGCUGAUUGCAGAAAGACCACAGUGACAGACGAGCCUUCGCAUUGAUCCUGUGGGCCAGCAUGAUCAUCCGCCAUUGUCCUAUUCACACCUGCAGUUCUCCAUGAUGGAUGUCCAGUGUUUUCCAGCCUCCAGCACCUAGAUUGCAGCUCCGCACAGGAAGUUUGGCCAGAGGAAAAUGGUCGUGCUCAACUGAGUCUGGUUUCUCUCUAGGCUUUUUGCCCUCACUUUCGACAAUUGGUGAAGUGUGUUCCUCGAAACUGGCUUGCUUUAUUGGGACGUGUGGCGCUGCACAUGGAUGGAUUUGCUCUUCAGUGUUUGGACUUUCAGCAGUGAAAUUUAAACUACACUGAACUCUGACACUUUCAAUUUACUACAAGUUCUAUUUAAGCUGCUGUGACACAAUCUACAUUGUAAAAGAGCUAUAGAAAUCAGAAUUGUACUUGUUUUUGUGUACAUUUUUACAAAUAUUGUGUGUACAUUUACAUUUUUGUGUACGUUUCAAGUACACACACACGUAUAA